rnacentral:ncRNA from 2 species
UUAUCUUUGCAACGCUUUGGUAGUUUAAUGCAAAAAAAUUUGUAUCAAACUUUAAAAGGGAAUACGGUGUAAAUCCGUAACUGUCCCCGCAACUGUAAGCCGAAAAAAAGCUUUUGCUAUGUUCACAAGCCACUGCUCUUAGGAGUGGGAAGGCAGCAAAAGUUCGGUGAGUCAGGAGACCUGCCAAGCAGUAUCAAUGUUU